UACAGAGGGGGGCAAGCGUUGUUCGGAAUUACUGGGCGUAAAGGGCGCGUAGGCGGCCUUCUAAGUCGAACGUGAAAUCCCCGGGCUCAACCCGGGAACUGCGUCCGAUACUGGAAGGCUUGAAUCCGGGAGAGGGAUGCGGAAUUCCAGGUGUAGCGGUGAAAUGCGUAGAUAUCUGGAGGAACACCGGUGGCGAAGGCGGCAUCCUGGGACCAGUACUGG
rnacentral:rRNA from 1 species